CGGAGAGUAUGAUACCGGCUCAGAGCGAACGCUGGCGGCGUGGAUAAGGCAUGCAAGUCGAACGGGCACGCCCGGCUUUGCCGGAAACGGCCAGUGGCGAAAGGGUGAGUAACACGUGAGUAACCUACCCCCAGGCUGGGGAUAACACCUGGAAACGGGUGCUAAUACCGAAUGUGGUUCUCCGCUCGCAUGGGUGGGGAACUAAAGCGUUCAGCGCCUGGGGAUGGGCUCGCGGCCUAUCAGCUAGUUGGUGGGGUAACGGCCCACCAAGGCGACGACGGGUAGCUGGCCUGAGAGGGUGGUCGGCCACACUGGGACUGAGACACUGCCCAGACUCCUACGGGUGGCAGCAGUCGAGAAUAUUUGGCAAUGGGCGAAAGCCUGACCAUGCGACGCCGCGUGGGGGAUGAAGGCCUUCGGGUUGUAAACCCCUGUGGUCGGGGAAGAAACGCACCGACUGCGGCGGUGCCUGACGGUACCCGACUAGAAAGCGCCACGGCUAACUACGUGCCAGCAGCCGCGGUAAGACGUAGGUGCGCAAGCGUUGCUCGGAUUCACUGGGCGUAAAGGGCGUGUAGGCGGCCUAGUCAAGUCGCGUGUGAAAUCCCUACGGCUCAACCGAGGGGCGGCACUGCGAUACUGCUAGGCUAGAGUGCGGUAGAGGGAAGCGGAAUUCCGGGUGUAGCGGUGAAAUGCGUAGAUAUCCGGAGGAACACCGGUGGCGAAGGCAGCUUCCUGGGCCUGUCACUGACGCUGAAGUGCACGAAAGCUAGGGGAGCAAACAGGAUUAGAUACCCUGGUAGUCCUAGCCCUAAACGAUGAGUGCUAGGUGUGGGGGACGUUCGAUCUCCCGUGCCGCCGCUAACGCAUUAAGCACUCCGCCUGGGGACUACGGCCGCAAGGCUAAAACUCAAGGUAAUUGACGGGGGCCCGCACAAGCGGUGGAGCAUGUCGUUUAAUUCGAAGCAACGCCAAGAACCUUACCUGGGCUUGACAUGCUCCGGACAGCCCUGGAAACAGGGUCUUCCCUUCGGGGACCGGAGCACAGGUGCUGCAUGGCUGUCGUCAGCUCGUGUCGUGAGAUGUUGGGUUAAGUCCCGCAACGAGCGCAACCCCUGCCCCUAGUUGCCAGCGGGUCAUGCCGGGGACUCUAGGGGGACUGCCGGUGAUAAACCGGAGGAAGGUGGGGAUGACGUCAAGUCCGCAUGGCCCUUAUGCCCAGGGCUACACACGUGCUACAAUGGCCGGUACAGAGGGCUGCCAAGCCGCGAGGCGGAGCCAAUCCCAAAAAGCCGGCCUCAGUUCGGAUUGCAGUCUGCAACUCGACUCCAUGAAGCCGGAAUCGCUAGUAAUCGCGAAUCAGCACGUCGCGGUGAAUACGUUCCCGGGCCUUGUACACACCGCCCGUCAAGCGCCGAAAGCCGGGGCGUCCGAAGUCGGUGAGCCAACCCGCAAGGGAGGCAGCCGCCGAAGGUACGAACCUGGUGAUUGGUGCUAAGUCGUAACAAGGUAGCCGUACCGGAAGGUGCGGCUGGAUCACCUCCUUU
rnacentral:rRNA from 1 species